UCCCUCCUGGCUAAUCACUGUUUGAAUUGCAGUUUCGAUAUCACUUUACUCUCAAUCAUGGGGUAGGGGAACUUUCAUAUGCACCCAUAGUUCACCGUUCUCCCUUUAUUACCACCCCAUGUGAAGUCAUAAUUCCUCUCCCACACAUACAUAGACUUUCUGUUGUAACUGUGCUUUAUUCUUCACAGCACUUGUAUCCUC
rnacentral:lncRNA from 10 species